GGAUUAGAUACCCUGGUAGUCCACGCUGUAAACGAUGGUCACUAGCUGUUCGGAUUUCGGUCUGAGUGGCUAAGCGAAAGUGAUAAGUGACCCACCUGGGGAGUACGUUCGCAAGAAUGAAACUCAAAGGAAUUGACGGGGGCCCGCACAAGCGGUGGAGCAUGUGGUUUAAUUCGAUGAUACGCGAGGAACCUUACCAGGGCUUAAAUGUAUUUUGACAGAUCUGGAAACAGAUUUUUCUUCGGACAAAAUACAAGGUGCUGCAUGGCUGUCGUCAGCUCGUGUUG
rnacentral:rRNA from 1 species